CAUUUCACCCCUUCCCAUCACUUGUUUUCUAAACCUGCUUCAGGCGGCCGGUAAUCGGUAUUUUAUAGUUGAGUUUUGAGUUGAACAGUUGCUUGAUGGGACGCGGUAGGGGUGUUGCAUGGGUGUUGCUGUUGCGUUUGGUGCCGUGGUGCGAUUAGUUAUUAAUUAUGGAAAAAAAGUUAGUAGUUAAAAAUCGACUUCAACAAGAUGAGUACAAUUCUUUGGCUGCUAAAAUAGUGCUCCUUUUCCCACAAAGCCAAUGGGAGUGUAUUACUGUCCCCCUGUGAAAAGAGCAUGUAGUCCAUUUCACAAGACAGUUAUGGCUAAGGGCAAACUAGUGAAUCACUGCAGAAAUAUUUUAUUUAGAUCUGGUGAUACCCAAAAACAAAGAAAAAGGCCAGAUGACGAAGACUUUUGGUAUUGUCCCGAAACAAAAAAAAGAUAAUUUAGAAGAUACAUUUAAAGAAGAAAUUGCAUAGCUGCAACAUAAUACCGAGCCAUGGAAUAAAGUAAUGGAAUAUUGGACUCGAACCUGGGAA